GAGUGAACGCUGGCGGCAGGCCUAACACAUGCAAGUCGAGCGGCAGCGGGGUCCCCGCGAGGGGAUGCCGGCGAGCGGCGGACGGGUGAGGAACACAUCGGAAUCUGCCUGGUUGUGGGGGAUAACGUAGGGAAACUUACGCUAAUACCGCAUGCGACCCUGAGUCGACGGACUGGGGGUGAAAGUGAGGGACCUUCGGCCUCACGCGACCAGAUGAGCCGAUGUCGGA
rnacentral:rRNA from 1 species